AUGGCUGCCAACAGACCCAUUCUGUGGUCGCAGAGCUCUCUAACCUACAUCCGAGUGCCCUCAUCCGCCUCUGUCAUUUUGCAGAGGCAUAUUUUGGCCACAUGCAGCUGGAGGGUGAGAAGUAGACCGAUGGACUAUCCGGCCAACGAGAGGCUGCUGUCGACUGCUGGAGACCUGAGAAUGCCGUUCUCAGACACGGUCAAGUACUCCAUCCUGGGCAUCUCGGUCGCUCUUCUUCUGCUGGCGCUGGGCAUCUUGGUGUGGCAGGCCUUCAGGUGCUGCACCACAAUCACCCGGCAAGAUGCUGUAAACAGGGAUCUGCUGUGCUCAGUCGAAAAGUCAAGAACGAGGAGAAGCUACUCAGGAGCUCCAUGCACUAGGAUGGAGAAUGUCAGCACAGAGGUCCGCAGGCUGAGCCGGUGUCUGUCGGGGGCCUCGUAUCCCGCCUCGGAAUCCAGACAGGUGGACGGAGAGGAGCAGGACACCAUUAAAAAGGUCGAUGGAACGAUUCGUUUUUCCAUCUAUUAUGACCAACUCCAGUCGCAGCUGGUUGUCACCGUCCUGCAGGUGGAAGGGCUUCUGUGGCCAAGCCAGACAUGCAGCCUCCAGCCAUUUGUCAAGCUGAGACUCAUGUGGGCCGGUUCAGUGGGAGUGGAAGUGGACGACUGUACGGACAAGGAGGGCGAAGGGACCGCACCCAUCUUGUGGACGGUGCUGCAGGAGUGGCGGACUCGCAUUGUGAAAGGCAGCUGUAACCCUUUAUUUGGAGACCAAUUCAGCUGCAUCAUGCAGGAAGACAAGGAGCUUCAUCACAUUAACCUCAAGAUGGAGGUACUGCAGUGAACUAAUCCUUGUCCAUUUAUCUCUUGAAUCAUUGGAAAGGAUUUUUGACAGUUGACGAAGUAAGCUUCAAGUAGAGAAAACUAUGGAGCCAAAACCAGGUCAAAAGUUUUGAUCAUUUGAUAAACAAAUGUGAACCUAAAAGUUGGGUUGUUGAACAUUGAAAAAUACAACAAUGUAUUCAAAAUAAAAAUAAGUGGACGAAAAUAUAGUUUUGACUCAAGUAUAUUCUUUUUUUUUUUUUUUUUAUCUUCACGUAUAUAUAUUUUUGAUAUUCGGUGUAUUGUAUUUUUGGUUGCAGAUUUUAUGUUUUCAGAUUCAAAUCUUGAAUUUUCACUUUCAGAUCUUAUUUUCGCGUUUGGAUCUUUUUUUGGCGUAGGGGACGGGGCAUCAACUGGGAGGGGCGUGAAACUUUCAGGUUCACAUGUGUUUUUCAAAUGAACAAAACUUUUGACCUGUAUUUGGCUCCAUAGAAAACGCAAUGUUAUACAGUUGUGGUCAAAAGUUUACAUACACUUGUAAAGAACAUAAUGGGGGCUGACGAUUUUAGGUUAUCUUGAAGAAUUGCAGGAAUCAGGAAACAUUGCCAAAAUAUGUCAAACAUGCAAGGAAUUUGUCUUGACGGUUGGUGCGUGGCAGUAGACAGUGUGACAAUGGACAAGACAGCAGUGCACAAGUAAUAAAAUGAAAUGCUAAUGCAAUGGGUUAGUAGAAUAAGGCUAUGGGUUAGUAUAAAUUAAGAGAAUAAAGUCAAAAAUAUUUAAAAAGUUACAAAAUAUAAAAAAAUAAAGUGCACUAUUCAACAAGUGAGAAAGUGACGAGUUACAACAAAGUAAUGAGUGAAAAAUUACAGUUAAAGUGACAUGUGCAGUAGGAAGCAAAAAGACCGGUGGAAUGUUAGUGUGUUAGUCAGUCAGUGGGGGACCGGGCUCUGUUGAACAGAGCCCGACUGCCGAUGGGAAGAAACUGUUCGUGUGGCGGGAGGUCUUAGCCCUGAUGGACCUCAGCCUGCCAGAUGGAAGGGGCACAAACGGUUUUUGUCCGGGGUGAGAGGGGUCGACUACCAUCUUUUUAGCUCGCUUCAGAGACCUGGAAGCGAACAAGUCCUGCAGGGACGGCAGAUUGCAGCCGAUCACCCUCUCUGCAGAGCAGAUGACCCUCUGCAGCCUGCCCUUGUCCUUGGCUGUGGCUGCAGCGUACCAGACGGUGAUGGAGGAGCAGAGGAUGGACUCGAUGAUGGCCGUGUAGAAGUGGACCAUCAUCGUCUUUGGCAGGUUGAAUUUCUUCAGCUGCCUCAGGAAGAACAACCUCUGCGGAGCCUUCUUGGUGAUGGAGCUGAUGUUUAGCACCCACUUGAGGUCCUGGGUGAUGAUGG
ensembl:lncRNA